AGAGUUUGAUCAUGGCUCAGAUUGAACGCUGGCGGAAUGCUUUACACAUGCAAGUCGAGCGGCAGCGCGGGGCAACCUGGCGGCGAGCGGCGAACGGGUGAGUAAUGCAUCGGAACAUGUCCAUGUCGUGGGGGAUAGCCCGGCGAAAGCCGGAUUAAUACCGCAUACGCCCGAGAGGGGAAAGUGGGGGACCGCAAGGCCUCACGCGAUUGGGUUGGCCGAUGUCCGAUUAGCUAGUUGGCGGGGUAAAGGCCCACCAAGGCGAUGAUCGGUAGCUGGUCUGAGAGGAUGAUCAGCCACACUGGGACUGAGACACGGCCCAGACUCCUACGGGAGGCAGCAGUGGGGAAUUUUGGACAAUGGGGGCAACCCUGAUCCAGCCAUUCCGCGUGAGUGAAGAAGGCCUUCGGGUUGUAAAGCUCUUUUGUCCGGAACGAAACGGUGGACGUGAACAUCGUCCAUUACUGACGGUACCGGAAGAAUAAGCACCGGCUAACUACGUGCCAGCAGCCGCGGUAAUACGUAGGGUGCGAGCGUUAAUCGGAAUUACUGGGCGUAAAGCGUGCGCAGGCGGUUUUGUAAGCCAGAUGUGAAAGCCCCGGGCUUAACCUGGGAAUGGCAUUUGGGACUGCAAGGCUUGAGUGCGGCAGAGGAGACUGGAAUUCCCGGUGUAGCAGUGAAAUGCGUAGAUAUCGGGAGGAAUACCGAUGGCGAAGGCAGGUCUCUGGGCUGACACUGACGCUCAUGCACGAAAGCGUGGGGAGCAAACAGGAUUAGAUACGCUGGUAGUCCACGCCCUAAACGAUGUCGACUGGUUGUUGGGGGUUUGACACUCUCAGUAACGAAGCUAACGCGUGAAGUCGACCGCCUGGGGAGUACGGCCGCAAGGUUAAAACUCAAAGGAAUUGACGG
rnacentral:rRNA from 1 species